rnacentral:lncRNA from 1 species
UGGCACCCAGACGUGCACUCAUUGCUCUGUAACAGCCAAAAUAUUGAUGUACUGAUAAUGCUGUCUCAGUUGAAGUUGAGUCAAGAUCCCAAAAUCUUUAGCUCGUCUCUUAACCUUUAGUUGACUGUGGGAUACCAGCUGGAAAUAAGGCCUAGGAUUAAACCCUCAGAAAUUCCUACCUGAAAAUUUUUUCAAGCUGCUAUAGCAACAAAUAGCACAGUGCUUCCUUUUAGGAUGAUAUUGCUGCAAAUAAGCAGCAGAUUGUAUUUGGUAGUUCGCUGUUAGGCAGCAUCAGUUGGCUGAAUAGUUUGUGCAGCUGUUUUCAGAACAGCAUCAGCAGUUAUCCUACCCAGCUGCACAAGAAGGGAGUGAGAACAACUUAAAUCAGCUGUUGCUGGAGGAUCUUAGAUAUGGUUCACUUGAUGGAUCACCACUGGAACUGAAUGUUCUACUCUUAGGCAUUUUUUAGAAAUGACUCCAGUGUCCUCUGUCCUGAAGAGCACUGAUUUCAUCACUCCAAGGCCAAAUAAGGCACAUUUACUUUUUAAAUGCUUAUCCUUCUGUUCCCUGUAGGAAUAUUUCAAUCAAAGGUUUUUCUGGCUCUGAUAUGAAACAAUUUAUUCCUUGACGGCAAAGAGUAUAUUCAAGAGUCAUUUGUAUUUAGAAGACUUAAUACAAAAAUGACACAACAAAGUUUUGUGUUCAUACCAGUUCUGAUAGAGGAAAACGAUUAAAUAAAUUCCUAGUACAAGCGAUUUUCAUUCAGUUGAGGCUCCGGAGAAGUAGGAGCUGCUUGCCAUGUAUGAACUAAUCUAUAACUAGAAGCCUGAGGAGAAUCAACUCAAUGCCUCCAGUGACUGCUCUUUCUGCGUCAGGUGGCAACACUGUCACUAAAUUAGAAGGAAGAAGCUCCAAGAAAUCCAGCUGAAACCCUGGAGUGCAUGUCAUCAGGCCAUGUAGACUUGUACACAUUCCACCAUUCAUGAGGUGGUCUUGAACUUACUCUUUGCUUGCAGUAUGAAGGAUUUUGCUCCCCCACUCAUAACCUAGAGGUUCGAGGACAAAAGAGAUAUCCCACUCACCAACCAGGAAGAUCAAAGAGAAUACAACCUGUAUUCCUGAUCCCUUCAACAUCUUCCCAAGGAAUAUAAAGACUCUUCUAAUAUUCUUCAAUAUCUUUGUUGAAGUCUUCUAUGACUCAACUUGAAAGAAGAGGAGUGGAGGGUAGUCCUUGGGUUUUAUAACUGAAAACAAAUAGAUAAAUAAUUAAGAAAGAAAGAAAUUAAAGAGCCAGUAGAUGGAUGAUUAAUCUGAUAGACGAUUAAUGAAAAAAACUAUCAUCUACCCUUUUUUUUACCCAAUACUCCAGUACUUGCAUGCAUUAUUUUAAUAUUAUUUUUUACACACAAAUCUGGGGUAAUGAAGAGAUAUAUGUUGAAAUCCAUUUGACACUUUUAAUGCACCUGAAGAGCAGUUUGUUUACAGUGGGGAGAAAUAAGCUGAUAUAUCAGAACUAGUGUUUACUAGUUUGGUCAAGGUGAAACUAUUCAGAAGUAUAUGAGAAAAUAUUGCAGUGGUAAUGAAAGGAGAGACUGAAAGAUGGAUAAUGUAACAUAAACUUUAAUUCAAAAAUAUAACUCUGAAUUACUUUCAAGGUUUUGAAGCUGCAAAUCUAGGUUCUUAUUCUCAGUAUAUUUAGGAAGAUUUUAAUACAUUCAUCAUCUCAGAAGUGUACAACAGCUACAGACUGUUGGAUUCUCAUGUCCAGAAUUUUCUCAGUGUUAAUAGGUUGGUGCCCUUGCCUAGUCAGCUGUGCUGCACUUAUAUGUGUAUGUGCACAUCUAUGUUUAACUUUUCUGUACGUGGUUUGGUUAAAAAAUAACUGCAGCAGAAUGACUGAAAAAAGCAUUUAAAUUUACAAGUCCAAACAAAAGAAUAAAAGAUGGAUAUUAACUGCUACAGGAAUGAUAUAUGCAUUCUUACAAAACUGUACUUUAUUACUGAUAUGGCUUUGCAUAGGGCAUUAAAUAGAACUUUAUAGAAAUGAGAAAUGCAAGUACUUAAAAAGUAAAUUAAAAAACCUAAAGAGAUUUCUGAUUCAUCACACUAUGUCCUGUUGUGUUUUUUCACUGUUGACAAGCAAGCUGAUAACACAUUUUCUUUUCUGUUUUUCUGUUUUUUUUUUUCUUUACCCAUGUCAAAUAAAAAUAAAAUGGUUCUUCAGAUUUUCGAAAAAAAAAUACUGUAAUUACAGCAGAGGAAAACAUCAUGUUCUUUCAGCUUUCAAUAUUUUUUGAAAUGAUUAUCAUUCCAAAAUGUUGUUUUUUUAUGUGUUUAAUAUUUAUUUUCUGUAACAAAGGGCAUACUUUAUCAGGGACUAAUGGAAAUGACACUAAAGAUUAUAAAAAGAAAAUCAGAUUAUUUUCUCAGUAUCUGCAUGUUGUAUUGGAAGUAUUAAUCAUUGAGCAAUACAGAAAAUUUAGCAAAAUUUCUGGCAUGAAAGGCUACAAAUGGCAAUUACCACUGAUAAUCUCUAUAAAGCUUUAUUACCAGUAUAUAUAUGUGAGCAUACAAAAAGAUCACAAGAAGGAAACUCAAUGCACAGCAGAGAGAGAAGACCAGAUGUCAGUUUUAAUCACAUUAAAACUUAUGCAGCCUUCAGAAAUGGUAGUAAUCUCAAUUUCCCUUCUUGCAAAAAGUUCCACUGGAUAGCAUUUUUAUGAGAGUUACUUUCAAUUAUAGCUUUAGAUAGAAAUUCUGGGUGUUAUAAUUUGCCUUUUUGACACAUCUGCUCAAUUAUGAGUUCUUUGUUUGUACUUGAUCUCUGCUCUCUAGGUAAUAGUUUGUUCUGGUAAAUCCUACUGAUAAUACAUGAACAACAAAUUAAGUCCUGGAUGUAGUAAGUACUACCUUUUUUUUUUUUUUUUUUUUUUUUUUUUCUUCCUUUUUUUUCUUUCUUAAUCAAUAGAUUCUUACAUAAAUAUUAUGGUUUUAUGAAUUUGGUUAUUGGUACUCCACAUCAUAACAUCAUGUAGUGCACUAGGAGUUAAUUCCUUGUUUAAAAAGAAAAUAAACAACAAGAAUUCUAAAAGAUUUUAAAGUUAUUUUUGUUUUAAUUAUUAUUUUUAUUUUAAUAAAACUGUAGUAAAAUCUUUCCCAACCCAGUGUUUCACAGUAUAGUUACCUCUUACUACAUGGAGCGUCACAAUUCUUUGGCCUUUUGGUAGUCACUUGAUCACAGACUUAAGUUAAAUGCUUAUGUAUCAUUCCUGAAUUUGCCUUCAUGUUAUUGUAAAAUACAUACAUAUUUGUCUUACAGUAUGUACAAUUAUAGUGGGUUUUGCUCUAUUUUAGUAUGCUUCUGUUGGGCUCAAGGCAAGCCAAUGUUGUGCCCCGAUUAUUGCAUUCCUAAUUUAAAAUGCUAUGGGCCUCUACUUUCACUAAAGUACACUCUUAAAAAGUAGUAAUGUUUCUUACAGAAUGAUACCUGUUAUAAAUAUAGUAACUAAGCAUUAACUUGGUCUUGAAAAUGUGAGACAUACCAAAAAUAAAUUGCAAUAAAUUUGAAUCAUUUUUAAGAGCUGCCAAAAAGCAUAAAUGUCACAACAUCAUUUUCCCAUUAUAGUAAUUGAAUUUCUUACUUCAAGUGUCUUUGUAAUUGCACAGUUUUAAAUCACUGUGUUAAAAGCAAAAUCUUGGUUAGCAGGAAAUGGUUUUCUCAUGGAUCAUUGGAGGGAUCGAGACCCACCAGCUUGGAAAAGGGAGAUAAAAUGGGACAAUCAAACGUUAGCAGAAGCUGGUCGCAUUGAGCCUUUAGUUUGAUCACCACUAUCUGUUCUACAUUCUUAUUAAGUGUUUCUAACUGCCUUCUAUGAGAAUGCCCUCCCUGUUUCGUCCUCUGUGUGUGAAAUUCAUGUUGAACCAGCCAUUAAGAGAAGAGGUCUGAGUGCCAGCUAUUGGGUAGUGUCAUGCUCUAUGGUUGUGUUUGUGUGAAACUUCUGGAGAACUUAAAGCCAAUAACCUUCAUGUAUUUGGUCUAACUAUAACACAAGGGAAGGUGAAAUAUAAUGUAGCGAACAAAAACUUAAGUACGAUUCAGUACAAUAUAUAUAUAUAUAUAUUUUUUUUUUCCAUUUCCUUGUGGUAACUUCUACAGGGAAAAAAUACUUUCUUGAUAAAUUCUGAACAUUUCCUACUCUAUGAAAUAAAUAUCUUUGAAAGUUUGAAAUUUCUAGUGACUGUCUAAAAAAGGCGUAUUUUGAUUCUUUCUGUAAAUAAACAAUGAGUGAAGUGCAUACUACCAUACUGAGAUUAAUGACAAUUCCUAUCAACUUCCUUUGCAUUAGAAUAUUCCUUCAAACAUUUGUACGAAAGUCUGGUCUAGGCAUUAAGAAAACAUAUGUGAAAAGAAUGUGUUUCUUCAAGUUCAACUAAUUAUGUCAAAUCUACAUUUAUACUAUAGAUUUGGAGAGUAGUGUAUAUAUAUUAUAAAUUCUACAUAUGUGUUGCAUUAAUGCACAAUCCUAAAAAAAAAUGUUGAAUUAUCUAUUUUUGUACAAAUAUAGUAUGGUCAGAAAAUUCUGUUUGCAAUAAUCACAUUGGCAUUGAGAACUGAAUAAAAUACAUAUUUAUAGGUAGAUUAAAAGAAAACUAUCUUCUCCAACCAAAAGUAAAUUUUACCACUAAUGAUAUAACAAAAACACACUUUUUUUUUUUUUUUUUUUUUUUUAAGAGAAAAAUAUUUUAAAAAUGCUGGUAGUUACAGCUAUGAAACUGCUAUAUACUACAUGAAAUCAUAGUUAGAGCCAGAUGACUAUAAAGCCUCCACACCAUUUAACUACAAGUGUUUAGGAAAAAAGGUGGUUUCAGUUAGUUCAUUAGAUACAACAGUGCAGUUCUUUUCCAAUAGGCAGACCAAAAGAUUAUUAUUCACUACUAAAAUAAUGUUUAUCAAAAAAUGUUAAUGUUUCACAUAGUUUUUUUUUUUUUUUUUUAAUAAUAUCAGACUCUUUUUAAAUAUUGAGGACAAAUUGUUUUCUUGAUAGAAAGCUAAAUGCUUUAGAUCUCUUUCUAUGAGGGCUUAUCUGAAAAUAAUGUUUCCUAUGUUAUUAGGUUGGCUCACAGAGUCAGAGGCAAAUGCUUAUGGUAUAAAGAAUGUUGAACCUUCCUGCCAAUAUUUCAUUAAAUUUGCUUGCCCUGCAACAGAUAGCAGCAGAGGCGCAGUCUAACAAAAUGGCAUCUAACAUGGAAGUGCAUAUAAAGCAAUAGGUAUGCAAUUGAAUUCCUUCGUGUAGAAAAAAAAUGUCAACCAUUCACAUUCAUUGGCACUUACUGAACAUUUAUGGAGGCCAAACAGUGGAUGUAAGCAUAAUUGAGGUGGUGGGUGUUUCCACACUGAUGACAGUGAUAUGAAGACAAGGCACAUUCUGGACCGCCAUGCAGAUUUUUGUACGUGCUGCAUGCUGGCUCUUUUUCAUCGCUGGUGAAAAUUCAUAGCUAAUGGUGGUGGCUAUGUUGAAAAAUAGUGUUUUAUAGCCAAGAGGUUUGUCUAUCAAAUAGUGUUCUUGCACUCUUUGUAUCUGUUACAGUUUCCAUGGUAAUAAAUAGGAGGCAUUACUUACAGAACAACCUAGGUAAGAUGGAAAAAAAAAAGAUAUGUUGGCAUUCACAUUAACUGUAUCCUGUCAUAUGUGGUCAUUAAAAUUAAUUUUUAUGUUUUCAAAAGUUAAUAUGAAUAGAAUGUAUUGCUGUUGAUUUCUUAACUACUAAUGGUCUUAUUCCAAAGGGAUAUUUCAAUUACUUUCUUCCUUUGUAUUUUUUCCUAAAUAUAAUAGGAGUUCACAUUUGUUUCUCUGAGUGUAUAAUCAAAUCAAACGUUUAGAAAUAUGGCUGACUCAGGACUUUAAUAUAUUACAGCUCAAAUAAAUAACACAUGUACAGUUUUGUGUAAUUUUAAAAGCUGUGUGAAGAUGAGUGUGUUUUCAUUUGUCUGCUCCAGCAACAAAAUUCCUACAGAAUACAAUUUCAUCUCUGGCAGUAAAACAUGUAUUUUCAAAUGAAAGGACUCUUAGAUGUAUGUAAAGAACAAAUAGUCAAUUUGUUUCAAUCAACACCUCUUUGAAUAAAUAAAAUACAAAAAUUACUCAUAAUGUUGGUAAAGGAUUUGUAUAUUAAUUUUGUGUAUAUGUAUAUGUUCUUUGUGUUG